UACAGAGGCCUCGAGCGUUAGGCGGAAUCACUGGGCUUAAAGCGUGUGUAGGCGGACUUCUAAGUACCUUGUGAAAUCCCACGGCUUACCCGUGGAACUGCUGGGUAUACUGGGAGUCUUGAGCCACCUAGGGGCGAGUGGAACAAAUGGUGGAGCGGUGAAAUGCGUAGAUAUCAUUUGGAACGCCAAUGGUGAAAACAACUCGCUGGGGGUGUGCUGACGCUGAGACACGAAAGCCAGGGGAGCGAACGGG
rnacentral:rRNA from 1 species